UGUGGCUCAACUGGUAGAGCACUUAUCUAGCAAGCAAGAGGCCCUGAGUUCAAUCCCCAGUA
rnacentral:tRNA from 1 species